rnacentral:lncRNA from 1 species
AACUGUAGAUUCUUCCAUCGCAUCUAGCUAAAAGAAAUCCUAACAAAAAGAAUAAAGAAAAACCGAACAGCCAAACAACCAUGAAAUCUUUCGAUUUAUCACCAUACACCAAGAGUAGUUAGCAACACCACAACCAUUAUGUUCAGACAGCACUGACUAGCCCCAGGAACUGUUGACUUAGACCACCAGAAACCAUGUCACUUGCUUUUAGUCUCCCAAACUGUGUAGCCCUAGAUCUUUGUUUUCCUGGCUGAAAUGAGUAGCACUAGCCGCCAACCUGGAAUCCCUGAAGGUCGAUGCUGAACGAUUACCAGAGAACCAUGAAUGGUAAUCAAGUGCCCAUGAAAACGAGUGGGCUUUAACUUUUUUGCUACUGUUUCUUGGUUGAUUCACCCCUUAUUCAACCGGGUUUGGUCUAACCAGUUUGGUUCAAACUUGUACAAACUGAUUUUCCUUCCAUAUAGACUCGUUUCUAAGAUUUCUCAGUUUGUUCUACAUGUUUUUUAUUUUACUUUGAUGAUAUUGAAUUUGAUAACUGGCUUUAGAAAAAAUAAAAUUGAAGGUAACAACUUGGUGUGGAACCAUACAAACUUAUGGUUUGUAAUUUAUCACGUAAUCUAGCUGUUUAGUCAUAAUGUGUUGUACUAAGUUUUUGAUCCUUGUGGAUGCAUAGGGAGUAUUAAUAUUGUUGGAAACUGUAGUUAAUUGUACUAAUUGUAUUAUUUGUUUCCUAUUUGUAAAGAUAGUUUUUUCCUAUAAUAGGCUUAUUUAAUCAGCCUACUUAUUUUCCUAGGGUUUCCUUCUCUGCGAGUAAGAUUGUGCAUAAAUAGUGGUGUAUUGUGUCAUAAAAUUAUAUCCAUUCUUCUAAUUCUUCCAUAGAUACGUUUCCACAAAAUCAAGCUUGUACUUAUUUAAUGUUUUGAAGAGGCUAUGCAUGCUAAAAUUAUUUAUAUAGUUGUUGCAUUUAUAGUAUUCGUUGUUGGACGAGUUUGAGGUGUAUUCGACCUAUUUGCAAGAAAUAAAGAACUAUGGGAUACUCUAUAAGAACAUAAAAAUGAGGUAAAAUGUUCAACUAAGUUUUCUCAUAAACUAGAAGAGUCAAAGUUUAAAGUUCCUUCUGAAUUACUAGUGGCAGCUCAAUAGGUUUUGGCUCUUGUUGAAGUUAUUUCUGCUUAUAGUAAUGAUAUUGACAAUCCUUCUUUCAAUGAUCUUGUUUUACUUCUUAUUGCUAUUGAAGUAGUUCUCAUCCAUGAUGACUACAUUACAGAAAAAUUUUUGGAUGAUUUCGUUUUGCUUCACUAGUUUUAUGAUCUAAGGAAUGUUUUAUUCUGGUUAGCUUUCAAUUCUUCUAUAAAUAUUAUCAGAAGCCUCCAUUUUUUUGAAGAUUAUAAAGAGUCUGUUUGAGCCAUUCCUAUCUAUUAGCACAAGAAACCUUUGAAGGUUUACCAGAGCAUUAAGCUCUAUAGAGAAAUAGGAGUGUGAUUAAUUAUAGUUGACUGUUGUCAAGCGGGAGCCAAAGUAAGUUGGAGUUGUUGUUCUGUUAACAGAAAUGUAUAAAAAGUUUGAUGUUGACAGAACCUAGGCAUGUAAGACUGUACUCAUUGAUAAAUCAAUCUAAUUCUCUCUCGAAUCCUCAUCUCUAUCUUUAUCUCUCCUUUAUAACUUUUGCUACAAACUUGUUGGAGGCAAUGUCCAAAGCUCUAGACAAAUUGGGACAGAGCAGAGACUCCAUGGAAACACAAGCUGCUGUGGUAACAAUGACCAGAAACAAGGGAAAAACCAUAGCUGUGGAUCAACGCAUUCAACAGAUUGAUGAAUCUGUAAAAGAGGUUGAUUGGAGGCUGUCUGAUUUCAUAUUAGAAAUGUAUGAGUUGCAAAGACAGAUGCACCAACAAUUUGACCAGAUCGUGGAGCUUCUAUGGGGUAAAACAUGACUGUCCGACUUUAAUGCAUCGGUAAGUCCCUGACCAUCUACUAUUCCUUCUGAUAAAGGACUUCUGCCUAUGCCAAAAGUGCGAGAGGCUUGAGGAGUGGUGAUGAUGGAAGAGCAAGGAACUUCUAUAACAGUUUAUUGCUUAGGAUUAGAAUUCUUAUUUUUGAAGAAGUAAAUCCUUUGGGAUAGAUUAGAAGGUGUAUUUCAUGGAGUUCCUAACUAAUAGAUGAUUGAAAUGUUGAAUUAAAUAAAUCUUUAGAAUAGAAACUCACCCUACAUUCAAUUAAAUGAGAACAAAAAAAAAAAAAAAAAAUAGUGAAAACAUACCUUGAUCCAUUGUGGAAAUGAUUGUUCUUGAUGAUUAGGGUUUGAUUAUUACAAUUUAAAAUAAUCUUAGAGUUUAUAAGUUUUUCUGUUGAAAAAAGAAAAAAAUCUCUUGACAGUUUUUGAGAACCAUAAUUCUUUAAAAAGACAUAUGAAAAGGCACAUGCUUUCAUUAUUUCUAAUUUGUCUCAUAAUCAAAUUAGAAAUAACAAUUUGGUCUCUAUACAUUAAAUCUAUGACAAUUUAAUAUCUUAAAGUUAAUUAUCAACUUUAUUAGAACACCAAUUAAAACGAUACACAUUAAAUCACAUAUGUGUGCUCAUAUAUUGAAAUUUUUUCCAACAUGAGAUUGCUUAUCUCUAUCUUGGAGAAGUGGGUGAUGUUUGAUUAAAAGGUUUGCAUGCGAAGAAUGACAAUCAAGACUGAGAUCUAUUCGUAGAAGAAUUAUUUCGAAGGUUUGAAGGAACUUAUUGCAGAGUUAACCAGUAUUCUUUCGAGACAAAAUGUAACCGGUCCUUGAGGCCUCCUCGAGUUGGGCCCAAAGCUUGGCAUUUCUUUUUGAUUCCUCAAGCCCAUUAAUCUUACUUGGGCUUUAAGUCUUCUGGCUUGGACAAACUUGGCCCAUCUCUUUAAAUAAUCAAUUAGGAAAGAGUUCAAGAAUGAAAUUACUUUCCUAUUCUGAGCAUUCCUCAUUGAUACAAGAUUGCAUCUUUGGAACUAAUUAUAGGCUAUUUAGGAUCACAUCAUCCACCCCUUUUUCAAAAAGAUUCAUUCUCGAAUUUGGACCUUCAUCAUAAGGAAAAAGAUUAGUGAUUACAAUAAAAAACAAACCAUAUUUCCCUGACAUGUUUACUUUGUUAUUGGUCUAUGUCAUAGCUUGAUUUACAAUUCCUUCGGGAUCUGGAUCAAAUAUUUGUAGCCCACUUGCAUGGUAAUUAGCCGAAAGAGGAAAAUAGUAUUACUACGCAAAGAGUGGUUAGGGUCAAAAUGAAUCUCCUUGUAGGUAAAUACAAUCAAACUUCUCUUUUCACAAGAGAUAUUCCUUAAUAUUUUAUCCCCUUUCAAGAGUCACAAGUUGCCUUCCUAAGACCAAUCAAAAAGAGAUUGAGGCUAAAAAGGCGGCCAAUUUGUGUCCCAAGUGUAGAGACAAAGAUUACCUUGGCCAUCAAUGCUGCACCAGAAUGGUGAUGGCUGUGGAGGAGACAAAGGAGGUUGGUGAAGUUGAUGAUGAGGAGGAGGAGGAAAAAGUUGAAGGAGAGGAGGGCACAAGAACAUCUCUGCAAGCCAUAGAAGAGGUGACAACUGGAGGAACUUUAAAGAUUAUAGGAACAAUGGGGGCCGAGUAUCAUUUUACUUGACAGUAGAAGCUCACUCUCAUUUAUAGACGUGGAUGCUGCAAACAUUUUCAAAGACGAAUUGUAAGCAACAAAUUGUGUGACGGUGGUAAAUGGUAAGAGAAUGACUAGCAGAGAAGAGUGUUUGGAAGUGAAGGAAUUAUGCAUCAGUAUAAGUUCAGGUACAAUUUUGGGGUGAUAGAGUUGGAGGGAGAUAUGGUAUGAUCCUGGAGUUGACUAGAUGAAAAAAUAUAGUCCCUUCAGUUUUGACUUCGUGAAGUCCAUAGUUAUAUUAGAUACAAAGACAUGGAGGUACUGUUGAACAUGGCAAUAAGGACCCAAAGAUUGUUGAGGUGUCGAUAGAUGAAGUUGUCAUGAAAAAGUUAUUUUUUAUGUAAUGAGAAUCAGAGUAGCUAAUAGUAACUAUAAUAUCCAAAUUAAUUUUAAUGUAAUUUAAAUUAAUUUAUAAAUAUAAUUUUUUAAUUUUUUAAUUUUAAUUUAAUGGAAAAAUGAAGGAAAAUAGGUGAAAGAUGAAAUUAAAAAUAUUUUUGGGAAAAAAAGGUAGAAAUUUAGGUUUCGAGGGUAUUUUUGAAAGAAAAAUCGAAAACUGGGGGUCAAAACGCAAUUUAGAAAUGUACCACGUAGGACGCUCAGUCAGUAGCCUCGACGAACUAGAACGCGCUGCGUGGUAAGGGAUGCUGACGCGGUGCCACGCGAGAGGUCACGUGGGCGAUCCGCAUGCCCGCAAUCGAAUGACCCAGAUUCGCUCCCGCGCGCACGGACGGCCUGGAUGCAUUCCCUUCCCAAACACAAUCGGACGGUUAGAUUUAAACGCGAUCAACAGUUCAGAUCCACUUCCUAUUUAAAUGCGAUCGAACGACCCAAAUCAGAUUGCGAUGAAUGACCCAGAUUCACUUCCUAUUUAAUCGCGAUUGGACGGUUCAGAUCAAACGCGAUGGAUGACCCAAAUUAAAAGGGAAUGGAUAUAAAUAACCAUUUUCACACCAAAUCCUAACCCUAUUCGCCAGACACCCUUGUCGGAGAAGAAGACCCAGCCGACGGGAAGGAGAGCUGCCGCCACCUGCCGCCGUGCCGGAGCCACUUUCGACUGCCAAAAGAAGUAAAAAUUUCUUCAUUUGCUCGAAAUUCAAUUUUAAACACUCUCAAGGCCGAAUUGGAGCAAAAAAACCGGCGGAUUGAUCGGAAACCACAGGUAAAGUCCGGGGGUACCCGCGGUGACGCUGCAGGAAAUUUAAAAAAAUACCUCCGAUGAGACCCUUCCUGAUUCUCGUUCUACGUAAUUCUUUCACCAUUACAACCACUGUUUUUUUCUCUACAGGUUGACUGAAGUAAAAACACCCAACUGCAAAGGUGAGCCGGCGGAGCCGUCGCACCGGAGAACCCAACCGCCAGUGAGUUUCAGUUUUUUAUUUUUUUUAACCAACCGAGAUCGCUUAACAUGUUUUCUCACAGGAAUGAUGCAAAACCAGUCGAAAACAGCCGAUCUGAGGCAAACCGCCGCCGUCACCGGUGGAGCCGCUGUGCUGAAAUUCUGGAAUUGGCCAAAAAGAGGUCUUGACAUCGAUUUUGGGUUUUGAGGAUAUUUGUAGGUAUUUAUAGCGCGUUUUAAUUCCCGAAGAAAAAUUUAGAGAACCCGAGGACCGCCAGUAGGCGCAGUCAACAAGUUUAGUUUUUUGAACAUCAAUUUGAUUAAAAAUCACUCACCCUAUUCUCUGUUAUGAAAUUGAUUUUUAAUUAUAAAUAAUGUAGUAUUUUGUACAAUUUAAAAAAAUAUCCAUAAUUAAUUACAUGUCAUUAAUGGAGUCAAAAUCGAAAAUUAUUUACUGUUGAUUUUGUUGAUUGAUUUUACAGUUUGAAUACAUUAUAGUAUCUGAUUGAUCGAUUUUAUAGUUUUGAAUACAUGUAUUGUUGGUUUUAUGUGAUUACGGUUGAAUUGAGAAACUAGAGAUUAAAGGUAAACGGACAUUAUGUGAUUAAGUGAAUGGAUGAAACGACAGCCUUAUUGGAUAUUUUGGGAGAUGAUGGAUGGAUCGGGUAUAUAAGGAACCCUACCGUGAAUGUUGCCUCAUACUGGAUGAGGUAUCGAGACUUGGUAAUUUAGCGUUCAUAUCGGACGGGGUAUGGAGACGGCUCGUUUUACCCUCAUACCGGACGGGGUAUGGGGACGACCCGUUAAUUAGAAAUGUUAAAGGAAAUGGUUCAUUCAUUGUGGGAACAUCCUUAUGAAUCCCCAUGGAUACCAGCAGGCUGAUAAAAGAGAAAAUUGUUGUUCCAACUAAUUACAUAUGAAAUCAUGAGAUGUGUUAUGUUAUUGUCUCUAUAAUUUGUAAAUCUCGUUACGGUAAGAAGACGGUAAACGAUUUUACUUAUGAUAAAUGAAUUUGCUUAAUUAAGAGUUUCAUUAGUUGUUUUGAUUUUUCUACCAACCUUUAUUUCUGUGUCGGUGAAUAGCGUGAGAUUUUUACUGGUUUAGUGUAAUUCAUUCCUUUAUUAACAAUUUCAUAUCAAGAAAAUCAGGAUUCGGAGACCGACCCACAAGAGGGUUGCGAGUAGGAUGCCAGUUUUAUUUAUUUUCCGUUUAUCGCUUUAAUUUUUUUGUAUUUCUUUCAAAGAAUAAUUCCUGUAGCACUAUUUGGUACUUUAAAUUAUUGUAUAAGAAAUGUAAAGCUUAACUAAUUUUUUCGCUUUCACCCUUAAUUUAUGAUUUAUUUCUUUUAGAAUUCUGGGAUUGUUACAGUAAUCGAGAAGAAUAUGAGAAAAUAGGGGCUAGCUCCCACAACCAAAGGUUAUCUUGGAAAAGUUAUAGGAUGUAUACUAGGAAUCAAAACGGUUUCUGCCCAAUUGGACCUUUGGUCAUGCCAUUCCAUUAAAGGGAGACAGUCAACUGGUUAAUGUUAGAUCCUGUCAAUAUGCCUAUCCCUAGAAAAAUGAGAUAGAGCAGCAGAUGACCAGAAUGUUACAAGAUUCGGUCAUUCGAUCGAACAAUAAUCUUUUGUAUCCCCAAUACUUUUGGUAAGAAGAAAGGUACUAGAUGGAGGUUUUGUGUAGACUACCGUGAACUCAAUUCAAUCACUAUGAAGGACAAGUUUUCAAUCCCAUCAUUGAUAGUUUUUUAGUGAGAAAAUUUUUAUUGGUUGAUGAACAUUUAUCAAAUUAGACAAACUGUGAGAUAUGAUACAAAAGAUGUUUAGUGUAUUCUCUUGUACCUUUGUAGAGUGCUAUAGGUAUAUCAUUAUCAGACUGUGUAAGUUUUUCGAGAUUUAACUGAAUUUUUGGAUGAGGGUUAGACUCUUAGAUCGACUUUAGCUCAGUUCCUGACAUCUUUCUUCUUGUAUAUACUUGUGUUACCAAUCUUAUUUUGUAUCUCUUGAUUAUCUUAUUUGCUUUAUAUUUGAUUGUAAACACCCAUUUGCAUCCCACUGGUUUUUUGUCCUUGGGUAAAUCCACCAUUUAUCAAGUUUGGUUCUUUUCAAAUCCUUAUAUUUCCAUACUUAUAGCGUUUUUUCAUUUUUUAUAGAAUAAUGUCUAAGAUACUGUGUUAGAGAUGAACUUAGCACUCUAGCUUGAAGAUGAUUUCUUUUCAGGCCUUGUAUGGAUACAGUCCAUCUGAAUAUUUGGAUACUACAUAGACUCCUUCACAAGUAGUGCAGAAUUUCUUACUUGAAAGGCUGCAGAUUAGUCGAGACAUUCGGCAACAAUUGCUCAAGACUCAACACAUAUCUAAGCAAUAUGCGGACAUGCGCUGUAGUGAAUGGCAAUUCAACAUCAUGAAUUAUUUCUGUUGAAAUUUCAGGCUUGUAGGCAAGGUGGGAGAGGUUGCAUACCGGCUGAGUUUGUCGGUUACUUCCUGAAUUCACCUGUUUUUCAUGUUUCCCAACUAAAGAAGUAUGUUUAGGCAAAAAAUUGUAUUUUCAAGGACUGCCGCAGUUAGACUCUGAGGGAGCUGCGCUCGUGUUGCUGAACAAGAUUCUACAAGUCAAAAAAAUUCUCUGGAAUGAAAAAGAAGUUGAGCAAAUCCUGGUCCAGUGGUAUUGAUGAUUGUACGUGGGAAGACAGACUUUUUGAUGCAGCAAUUUCUUGAGUUCAACCUUGAGGACGAGGUUAAUGUUCAGGGAGAGGGGGGAAGGAGGGGUAUUGUUAGCACAGAUAAUCCUCUGAAGGUUUGCCAAAGGUGUAAAGCCCUAUAAAGAAGUAGGAGGUGCGAUCAAUUGUAUUUAAAUGUUGUCAAGUGGAAGCCAAAGUUAGUUGGAGCUGUUAUUUUGUCCCAAGAAGGUUGAUGUUGUUAGAAUGUAUUGAUAAAUCAGUCAAAAUUUCUCUCAACUCUCUAUCUCUUUCUCUUCUCUAAAUCUAUAACUCCAAGUCGUUGAAGCUAAUGUCUUAGCUCUUGACAGUAUCUUGAUGUUUCAUCACUUCGAAACUUGAGCCUGAAUAUUCUCCAACUGGGUACAAUUCUGCAGAACAAGAAGUUAUUUUCGGGACAAAUUUUCAAUUAAAGAAUCUUUUUGUAAUGAUUAUUGCUAUUUGGUUUUUUUUUCCCAAAAGUUCCGUUAUUUAUGUUUAUUUAGUCAUUGUAUACAUUAAUUUCGUAUUUAUAUAGAUCUAAACUAUUAUGGAAAUUAGAAUUUUUUAGAUUUCUUUUAUAAUUUCCCUAUUAGUUGUAUUUAGGUUUCUAUAUAAAGGCUAGUAGGUAGGUAAGAAAAAGAAGAAUAGACAAUAUUGAAUUAAGAAUUUAUUUGUUAGGAUUUUAUGUCCUUUUAUCACUCUCUUUGUUCUUUUGGUUAUUGUUUUAUUAACAUAUCUUGCUUAGUCUAUUUUUCAUUAUAUUUUUUUCACCUUGAUCUUUAGUUUCCUUCAGCCAAUCUUUAUUCUUCAGUCUCUCACCUAAAAUUUCUCUAUUUCUAGACUAUCCAUG